CCUACGGGGCGCAGCAGUGGGGGAUAUUGCACAAUGGGGGGAACCCUGAUGCAGCGACGCCGCGUGGGUGAAGGAGCGUUUCGGCGCGUAAAGCCCUAUCGGAAGGGAAGAAGAUGACGGUACCUGGCCAAGAAGCCCCGGCUAACUACGUGCCAGCAGCCGCGGUAAUACGUAGGGGGCAAGCGUUAUCCGGAUUUACUGGGUGUAAAGGGGGCGCAGACGGCAAUGCAAGCCAGGAGUGAAAGCCCGGGGCCCAACCCCGGGACUGCUCUUGGAACUGCAUGGCUGGAGUACAGGAGGGGCAGGCGGAAUUCCUAGUGUAGCGGUGAAAUGCGUAGAUAUUAGGAGGAACACCGGUGGCGAAGGCGGCCUGCUGGACUGUGACUGACGUUGAGGCCCGAAGGCGUGGGGAGCAAACAGGAUUAGAUACCCGGGUAGUC
rnacentral:rRNA from 1 species